rnacentral:rRNA from 1 species
UAGGGAAUCUUCGGCAAUGGACGGAAGUCUGACCGAGCAACGCCGCGUGAGUGAAGAAGGUUUUCGGAUCGUAAAGCUCUGUUGUAAGAGAAGAACGAGUGUGAGAGUGGAAAGUUCACACUGUGACGGUAUCUUACCAGAAAGGGACGGCUAACUACGUGCCAGCAGCCGCGGUAAUACGUAGGUCCCGAGCGUUGUCCGGAUUUAUUGGGCGUAAAGCGAGCGCAGGCGGCUAGAUAAGUCUGAAGUUAAAGGCUGUGGCUUAACCAUAGUAGGCUUUGGAAACUGUUUAACUUGAGUGCAAGAGGGGAGAGUGGAAUUCCAUGUGUAGCGGUGAAAUGCGUAGAUAUAUGGAGGAACACCGGUGGCGAAAGCGGCUCUCUGGCUUGUAACUGACGCUGAGGCUCGAAAGCGUGGGGAGCAAACAGGAUUAGAUACCUUGGUAGUCCACGCUGUAAACGAUGAGUGCUAGGUGUUAGACCCUUUCCGGGGUUUAGUGCCGUAGCUAACGCAUUAAGCACUCCGCCUGGGGAGUACGACCGCAAGGUUG